AUACCUUUCUCGGCCUUUUGGCUAAGAUCAAGUGUAGUAUCUGUUCUUAUCAGUUUAAUAUCUGAUAUGUGGGCCAUUGGCUCACACGAUAUUAAAUUUAUUUUUUAAGGGGGAAGACUCAUCAAGGCAGCUUGCUGUCUGGGUCUUCAAGCGUCGCCCAUGCGUUGCACUACAGCAUAGGCCCGGCGCACCCCAC
rfam:Erythranthe guttata cultivar DTN x IM62 scaffold_101_contig_63, whole genome shotgun sequence.